rnacentral:tmRNA from 1 species
UGCUUCUACAUUGAGCCACGGGGUGUAGAGGGACUUAAACGAAGGCUGGGCCUGUCGGAGUAGAUGCCAGUGGCAAAUUCCGGGGCCGAGAAAGCGAUUUCACUGGAUACACCCGUAGAAGGCAUAUGACCACAACAGUGGACCGGGGUUCAAUUCCCCGCAUCUCCACAA